UCAGGUUUCAGUGGAAUGCGAUGCGGCGUGCAAGGAGAUGAAGCGGAAAGCAUCUGAGAUUAAAGAAGCGGAAGCCAACGCUGCUCUGGAAGAAGAAAAGCGAAGGCAGCAGGCUGAGCUGGAGGCUUUUGAGAACAGACUGAAGGGCCGGCGGAAGAAGAACAGGAAACGCGAUGAAGUGGCCGUGCAGCUCUCGCCUUGGCAGAAGUACAAGUCCUACCUCUUUCCGGUGUGUGGAGUUGUGGUGGCGGUGCUUGUGUGGUACAUCUGCCAUCAUGCGGAUUAAUGAUCCUUUAGAUCUCACUUACCUCAGACUGGAGUUAUAUAAACGUUGACUCUAGGACGUUAGAACGUGCGCUGUAGCAUAUGAUACACAUUCACAUUCCUCUCUGUGUCCUUGUC
rnacentral:lncRNA from 1 species